GUUCCAGAGGGUCAUUCCACCAUGGCAGGUGAAGACAUGGGAACAUGGAAGGAAAGCAUACAGGUCGGGGAGAUACAAUCAUGAAGAGUAAAAAGCAUCUUAGAGCAGAAAUUUCCAGUAUUGAGCUGCACAUAAAGGAACUGCAAAGCCUUCAAGUGAUUGCCAGAUGCGCAGGAGAAGCUCCUCUGGAGGCACAACAUGAAGUAGAGGCUCGAGGCAGAGACCAAUAAAUCCCAGGAGCUUGCUAGACAGCCGAAAUAGCCAAACGAAUGGACUCCGGGUUGACUGAGAGACCUUCACUCAAAAAAAUAUGUAA